CCUACGGGCGGCUGCAGUGGGGAAUAUUGGACAAUGGGGGGAACCCUGAUCCAGCCAUGCCGCGUGUGUGAAGAAGGCCCUCGGGUUGUAAAGCACUUUCAGUGAGGAAGAACGCCUGGUGGUUAAUACCCAUCAGGAAAGACAUCACUCACAGAAGAAGCACCGGCUAACUCCGUGCCAGCAGCCGCGGUAAUACGGAGGGUGCGAGCGUUAAUCGGAAUUACUGGGCGUAAAGCGCGCGUAGGUGGCUUGAUAAGCCGGUUGUGAAAGCCCCGGGCUCAACCUGGGAACGGCAUCCGGAACUGUCAAGCUAGAGUGCAGGAGAGGAAGGUAGAAUUCGCGGUGUAGCGGUGAAAUGCGUAGAGAUCGGGAGGAAUACCAGUGGCGAAGGCGGCCUUCUGGACUGACACUGACACUGAGGUGCGAAAGCGUGGGUAGCAAACAGGAUUAGCUACCCCUGUAGUC
rnacentral:rRNA from 1 species